ensembl:processed_transcript 5530601H04Rik RIKEN cDNA 5530601H04 gene
AACACUGUUCCUCUAGCCUAGGUGAUAGAAUAUUCAAUAAAUCAAUGGGGAAAAUAAGUUAUAUGAAAAAAAAAAACAUUUUUAAACGAUGCUGUUAUUAAAUCCCUUGUGUGCCGUGUUUCCAGUUCACGCGCGCGCAAACACACACACACACACAUACGCCCGCCUUAACCACUUACAAGCAAGGUUCUAGAAGCAGGACGGUGGAAUUCUGGGAUGAAGAAGAAGAAUUUGCUACCUGUUUUGGAAGAACUAGCAGAGUGAGGGCACAGUGUCCUGUUUUACAGAUACUUGCUCAGCCACAUUCAUCACUGCUCUGUUCAUAACAGUUGGAAAUUGGAAACAACCUAAAUGCUUUCUCUCUCUGAUUUGUGGAUUCUAGAUCUGAAUCUUAAGAGUGAUCAGAAUAUAGGAUGGAUUGUCCAUGUGGAUGUUGGAUGUUAGCAAAUGCUCAAUACACAAGAAUAACAUAAAGGGGCAGACUGAAGCUGAUAACCCAAUUGCUACAUUACAAGUAAACAUGAGUAAACUCAAGAGACUCAACAAGCCUUUUAUUUCAGGAAGCAACCAAGCUGUUCAAAGAUUGGAGAGAAGAAAGGUGCAGAAGUAAAUGGCACUUUAUGAAGAUUCAGUGGACUUCAGGGAAGACAUUAUGAUGAC